CACAUUGAAAGGUGAAAUUAUAGAAUUUCUGAAACUUGCCUCAAAAUAAUUUGCAGGGAGGUUCAGGGUCAGUUAGUGGGAACACAGAAAAGCUAGAGUGGCCUUUGGGAAAGAUUCAUCAGACUGGGUGAUGGUGUAUGAAAAUCCAUUGUAUGUUCUUUUUACAUUGAUGUGUUUGAACCCAAGUACGUCAUUGGCCCUAUGCACUAAGGAGGCACAUGCUGGAGAUCAAAAGAGUCUGAGAUGAUGCAGGAACCACAACACCAUACCAGCUCUAGAGUGACUUCAGUCUGCUUCCUAACUGAAAACAAACAAAGAAAAAUCCUCUUGUGACAGGGUCUCACUAUGUAAUUAUGUAAUCUAGGCUGGCCUUGAACUUGAAAUCCUCUCACCUCAUCCUUCUGAGGCUUGGUGUUACAGAGCCUGCCAUGAGAAAGCCCACUACCGGGACCAUGCCAAGGAGAAAAAGGAAUGAGUGCAAAAGAAAAGGGCCCAGACAAUGGAAUUUUUUUCUUUUUGACUUAGAGAAGACUAUACUCCCAAAGAGAAGGCAUCAUUGCCACGGCCAGGCAACGCCAUGACAGCCUGGCUGACGAUGCUCUGCGUGAUGGGGGAGGAUGGGAUCCUCUUGUUAGGAUUAGACUCUGAGGUGCUGGAAUCUCAGAUAUAUAACUGUAACAUUUUCAUCACCCUUGACCCAUUAGCUCAUCUAUUCGUUUUCAGCCCAUCUCCCUUAUUCGGCUCUAGACAAAGGCUAAUUGAGUGUAUGUUGCCGUAGGCUCCUCUGGUCUGCCUAGUUUUUAUGAAUGGAGCCAUACAAUAUGCAGAACUUCGUGACUGAUUCCUUUGAACUCUUGGCAAAGAGUCACAUUGUAAUCUGUGUUAAUACUUCCUAUUACGGUCAAAUAGUAUUCUCCUCUAUUGUAUAUACCGUAUUUUGUUUACAGUCAUCUGCAUUUGGAUAAUUUCUGCAUUUGAAUCAUUCGGAAUAAUGCCACUCUGAGCUUUAUGUGCAAAAUUUAUUUUGCACGCAUAUGAUUUUAUUUCUGUUGUGUAUGUACAUUAGUAGAGCUGCUGGGUCCCAUGGCAACUCUCUGUUUAGUUAUUUGGAGAGCUUUGGACUAAAUUCCAAAGUGUUUAUACUUUUCUGCAUUUUUACUACCGGUAUAUGAAGGUUCCAGUUCUCUACAUUGUUCCAAAUCAUUGCCUGACCUUUUUUUGGUUUUUCGAGACAUGAUUUCUCUUUGUAGCCUUAGCUGUCCUGGACUCACUUUGUGGACCAGGCUGCUCUCGAACUCACAGAGAUCUGCCUGCCUCUGCCUCUGGGGAUUACAGGCAUGCCCCACUGUGCCCAGCUGACUUUUUUAUUACAGACAGGUGGUAUUGCAUUGUAGUUUUGUUUUCUAUUCCCUGAAUGAUGAAGGCUUUUGAGCAGAUUUUUGUAUGUCUCUUGGCUACUUGUCUAUCUUUCCUGGGGGAAACAUUUAUCCAGAUCCUUAGCCUAGAUCUUAUCUCUUAAAUAGGAUGCUGCAGUUUUCCUUCCUGCUAGGAAGCAACAUACAUAUUCAACAGUCAGCACUUGAAAAGACCAGUUAUGCAAUUAGGAACUUUGUACAGGGUAUGCUUGUCAGGAUUCCAUCAUUACAACCAAAUCUCAGAGAAGAUUAAUUUAUGAAAAGAAAGAUUUGUUUAAGCCCACAGGUUUGGAGAGUCCACUCGGUGUAUGUCAUAAGCAUUGUAUCAUGGCAAAGGGUGCCAUGCAGCAAAACCAGUCACAUCAUGAGUCAGGGAACAAAUAGAACAGGACUUGGGGCCCACAAUCCCUCUCGCGGGCACACCUUCAGGAACCUUCCACGGAGCCCCACUUAGGAAAGAGUCUGUUACCUCCCAACAGUUCCUCCCUAAAACCAAGACCCGAACACAUGGUCUUCCCAGAGACAUUUGAGAUCUAAACUACAGCUCAGGAUCUUUAAAGCCUUGCUGCAUUUUCCUGUUCAGCUUUUGUUGGUGCUGUUCUUGCUUUUGUGUUUUGGGAGAACGUGUGUUCUUCUGUACUUAUCCAGAUUCUAAGCAUCCCUUAAGAAACUGCCCCAAACCCUUACUGUUCUGGGUUCUUGGUCCUCUGUAAAGUCCUGUAAUAUUUUGGUUUUCCCCAAAUAAAAUAUGUUGCUUGGUGUUUAAA